rnacentral:snoRNA from 1 species
CCUCCUUUUCUUGGCGGGGACUGGGUGUGUGGUCCCACUUCCCGUUAUGUACGGAGGCAGAAGGAAAGGGCUCCGUCCCUCUCGGUGCCAUGUCUUCGGUGCCGGCGGCUUCCCGUUCGCCGGUUCUAUCCUCAAACGCCGAGACACGG